UGGCUCAGUGGGUAAGAGCACCCGACUGCUCUUCCGGAGGUCCGGGGUUCAAAUCCCAG
rnacentral:tRNA from 1 species